rnacentral:rRNA from 1 species
AUGUGCCAACCUAGGGAUCAGGGUAGCCUGGGAGUUACUAAUUUAGAUAUAAAGAAUAUAAGUCUUUUGUGCAAAUGGCUUUGGAGGCUAGAGAACGAGGAUGGAGAUUGGCAGGAGAUGAUUAGAGCAAAGUAUUUGAAAAAGAAAACUUUGGCUCAGUGUGAAUCAUCUCCUGGCAACUCCCAUUUCUGGAAUGGUUUGAUGGAGGUUAAAGAUAUUUUUUAUAGAUAUUGUCAGAGAGUUGUGGGUGAUGGUCGCAAAAAUAGAUUUUGAAAGGAUGCUUGGUUAAGAGACAAACCCCUAUGUUUGAUUUUUCCACGUCUUUACAACUUGACCUUUGGUAGGCAUGUCACUGUUGCGAAGGUGUUUAGCCAGGAUUUUGAUUGCAUCAGAUUUAGAAGAUAUUUGCAUGGGGAGACCCUUGAUAUGUGGAACAUAUUACUUGAUAUGUGUAGUCAGGUGACUUUGUCGGAGGAACCAGACAAUGUUAAAUGGCUUCUUACCUGCUCUGGGAGCUUCUCGAUUAAAUCUCUAUACCAUUAUCUUGUUGCUCGACAAGUUGUAUUCCCUUAUAAGUUGCUGUGGAGAAUGAAGAUGCCAUUGAAAAUUAAAGCCUUCUCCUGGUUAGUGAUCAAGAAUAGGAUCCUAACCAAAGAUAACUUAACUAAAAAAGGUUGGAAAGGUGCUAAGCAUUGUGAGUUUUAUGACAGUAUAGAGAUUGUGGAUCACUUAUUUUUUUUUCUUGUUCCCUAUCUAGGUUCUUAUGGAGUAUUGUGGGGUGCUCCUUGGGUAACCAAAAUCCCCUGUCUCUUUCCUUGA